rnacentral:rRNA from 1 species
AAAUUAACGUUAUAACGGCGUAAAGAGUGGUCACAUGUUAUCCAAGUAGCUAAGAUUAAAAAGCAACUGAGUUGUCACAAGCUAAAGAUGCGGCAUAAGGCCUCUAUUCAAAGAAGAUCUUAGACUAACGAUCAAUUGAAGCCACGAAAGCCAGGACCCAAACUGGGAUUAGAUACCCCACUAUGCCUGGCCCUAAAUCUUGAUGCUCGAUCUAACCGGAGCAUCCGCCCGAGAACUACGAGCACAAACGCUUAAAACUCUAAGGACUUGGCGGUGCUCCAAACCCACCUAGAGGAGCCUGUUCUGUAAUCGAUGAUCCACGAUGCACCCAACCAUUCCUUGCCCAAAACAGCCUAUAUACCGCCGUCUCCAGCCCACCCUCCAUGAGGGCCCAACAGU